UUUAGCGCGGCCGCGCCCAGCAGAAGUGUCCCGGGCCGAUUUUUGAAGCUUUUCUGAUGGAUUUUAGCAGCGGUCGAGGCCCGGUUGACUUGGUCAAUGUAUUUUAAUUUCUCAUGUGAAAAACCCUAGCCUCCAAGUAGUUUUGUAUCGUAGAAUAUCGGAUUAUAGUUUUAUCAGUUUUUCUCUUGUAAUCAAGCACAUUAUCAGUUUUGU
rnacentral:lncRNA from 1 species